GGUAAUUCCAGCUCCAAUAGCGUAUAUUAAAAUUGUUGCAGGGGGUUAAAAAGCUCGUAGUUGAAUUUCUGCUGCAUUGCUUGUGUCCCUCUGGGGUCUGUGCAUGUGGCUUUUUUCGGGGGGGACGGAGUUUCUUUGUCUGAAUGUUUACUUUGAGAAAAUUAGAGUGCUCAAAGCAGGCUUUCGCCUUGAAUAGUUUUUUAAAAGCAUGGAAUAAUAAAGUAGGACUUUGGUUCUAUUUUGUUGGUUUUAGGUACCAAAGUAAUGGUUAAUAGGAACAGGGGAAAUUGGGGGCAUUCGUAUUUAACUGUCAGAGGUGAAAUUCUUAGAUUUGUUAAAGACGAACUACUGCGAAAGCAUUUGAAAACCCCCAAGGAUGUUUUCAUUAAUCAAGAACGAAAGUUAGGGGAUCGAAGACGAUCAGAUACCGUCGUAGUCCUAACCAUACCCCAACUAUGCCGACUAGAGAUUGGAGGUCGUCAGUUUUUACGACCCCC
rnacentral:rRNA from 1 species